CUACCCCUUGCAAAGGAUCUUCUUCAUCCCUCUCCAGAAAAGGAGAAGAGGAAACACAAGAAGAAAUGCGUGGUGCAGAGCCUCAAUUCCUACUUCAUGGAUGUGAAAUGCCCAGGAUGCUAUAAAAUCACUACAGGUCUUUAGCGAUGCACAAAUUGUAGCUUUGUGUGUUGGCUGCUCCAUUGUCCUCUGCCAGCCUACGGAGUAAAAGCAAGGCUUACAGAAGGAUGUUCCUUCAGAAGGAAACAGCACUAA
rnacentral:lncRNA from 1 species